rnacentral:rRNA from 1 species
UGGCGGACGGGUGAGUAACGCGUAGGUAUCUAUCCUUGGGUGGGGGGACAACUGUGGGAAACUACAGCUAAUACCGCAUGAUAACUGAGGUUUAAAGGCGCAAGUCGCCUGAGGAGGAGCCUGCGUACGAUUAGCUAGUUGGUGGGGUAAAGGCCUACCAAGGCGACGAUCGUUAGCUGGUCUGAGAGGAUGAUCAGCCACACUGGGACUGAGACACGGCCCAG